rnacentral:lncRNA from 1 species
AUGAACAAUAUAAUAAAAUCAAAAAAGCUGUAUGAAUUAUAUUCGAAACGCUAUAUUUGUAAUUACUCUAAAAACAGAAAUUUAAAAAAUAAAUAUAAAUAUCUAAAUGGUCAUAACAAUAAUUUAACAUUUAGUUCUACUAACACAACGAUAAACAAUAACGGCAAUAAACUAACAAAUUUUAGUACCAAUAAAUUUCGGAGUGAAAUAAAAUGGCCAUUUCAAUUUUAUGUACAAAACCAUAUAGUUUUAAAAAAAAUUAUGAACAGUAAUGUGAAAAAACUAAGUGCAAGGCAAUUUUCAAGAUAUUCCCACAAAGAAUCAUCAUCGUCAAGGAAUAUUAAAAAUGAAGAUAAAAAAAAUAUAAAAAAGAAAUUGGAAUUGUUUGUACGUUUACCAUAUAUGGAAAUAAAAAAUAAAUUUAACAACAUAAGUCUUUUAUGGUUGAAAGAUAAUUAUUAUAAAAAUAAAAAAUGGCUAAUCACUUUUUUGAAUAAUGUUUAUUAUGAAAUAUGCAUAAAAAAAUAUAGACAAUUAAAAAAAACAGUACCAAAUAAUUUUUUUUUUAAUUAUAACAAAAAUAAUAAUGUAAAAAUAUUUUAUCCGUUUUUUUCAGUAUUAUUUAUAAAAAACUUUUUUAAAAAUGAUAAAUUAAUAACUCGUUUUUUAAAUUAUUUAUCAAUAAAUAAAAAAUUGUUCUUAAAUAAUUUUUCUAGUUUUUAUCAACAAAAUAUAAGAAGCGGCUAUUAUAAAAAAUUAUUUUUAUUUCAUUAUAAAAAAACUCCAGCUACAUAUACUCUUAUUUUAUUACACUUAUUUAUUUAUUUAUUAUGGUUCAAAGCGAAACCUGUACAGUAUAACUACAAUGAAUAUUUUUUAACAAAUAACAUGUUCAUAGAUAGAAACAGACAAAAAAACAACAAUUUUCUAUUAACAACUGAUUUUAUGUAUAAUCAUUUUUGUUGUAGUUUACGAAGUUUAAAAGAAAAAAGGUUUUAUACAAUUUUAACAAAUAUAAUUAGCCAUAAUACUAUACAAUCUUUUUUAUUAAAUACUAUUGCUUUAUACUAUAUAGGGAAAGGUUUAGAAUGUAUUAUAAAUACUAAAAAUUUUUUAAUUACAUAUAUAUUGAGUGGAGUUUUAUCAUCCUAUAUACAAAUAUUAUAUCAUAAAAACACAUAUAAUAAUUAUAAUUAUGUUUAUGUGUUAGGUGCCAGUGGAAGUAUAAGUUCUAUUCUAGCUACAUACACAUUUAUCUUUCCGAAACAAAAUAUUUACCUAUAUGGAAUCAUUGGUUUGCCUAUGGCUUUAUUUUCUUCUUUAUACUUUUUGAACGAAUUUUACUGUGUUAUAACGAAUAAAAACGACAAUACAGGUAAUUUGGGACUUUAAACUUAUAUGUACAUAUACAUAUACAUGUGUAUAUGUAUAUGUACAUACAUAAUUGUGCGCGUGUCUAUAUAAUUACCAUUUAAGUUAUUAAAAGAUUCAUAUAUGUAUAUACAUACUUAUAUCUAUAAACACUUAUAAUAUUUUCUUCCCCGUUUUUUACAAUUCAGGACAUGUCGCACAUUUAUGUGGUAUGUGUUUAGGAAUCUUGUACUAUUUAUUUUAUGUUAAAGGAAGAAUUGUUACAUAAAAACAUGCAUACAAGUACGCUUAAAAAGCGCGUUUUUUUUUUUCUAAUUUGUUGUUAUUUUAAAUUGUUGUUUUUUUUUUACUGUUUUUUUUUAGCUUUUUUUUACUGUUUUUUUAAUUUUUUUUUUUUAGCUUAAUGCUUUGUUAACUUAUUGUUUUUUUAAUUAACUGUUUUUUCAUUUUAUUGUUUUUUCAUUUUAUUGUUUUUUCAUUUUAUUGUUUUUUCAUUUUAUUGUUUUUUCAUUUUAUUGUUUUUUCNNNNNNNNNNUUUUAUUGUUUUUUCAUUUUAUUGUUUUUUCAUUUUAUUGUUUUUUCGUUUUUCAUUUUUAUUUUCAUUUUCAUUUUUAUUUUCAUUUUUAUUUUUAUUUUCAUUUUUAUUUUCAUUUUUAUUUUCAUUUUUAUUUUUAUUAAAUUUUAUUUGUUUUUUAUAAAAUUUUUAAUUCCUCAUAAAUUCAUAAGUGCGCUAAUUUUUUUUUUUUUUCUUUCUUCUUUUUUCUUCCUUUUUAAAUUUUACAUUAUACAUGUAUGCGCAUAAUAUAUUUAUUAUUAAACAAAAUUAAUAUUAUUAAAAAAUUUGGUAAUAUAUAUAUAUAUAACAAUACACGAAUGGAAUGUUUAAAAUACCUUAAAAAAAAUUUAUAUAUUUAUUUUUUUUUUACUUUUUACGGUUUAUAUAAAAAAGAAAAAAAGAAAGUAAAAAAAAAAAACUUAAAGCAAUAGAAAAAAAAAAAAAAAAAGGUAAUAAAAUAACAUACAUAACAAAUAUCA